CGUCAGCUCGUGCCGUGAGGUGUCGGCUUAAGUGCCAUAACGAGCGCAACCCUUGUCAUUAGUUACCAUCAGGUUAAGCUGGGGACUCUAGUGAGACUGCCACCGUAAGGUGUGAGGAAGGGGGGGAUGACGUCAAAUCAGCACGGCCCUUAUGUCCGGGGCGACACACGUGUUACAAUGGGAGGUACAGAGGGCAGUCAGUUAGUGAUAACGAGCCAAUCUCAAAAACCUCUCUCAGUUCGGAUUGGAGUCUGCAACUCGACUCC
rnacentral:rRNA from 1 species